rnacentral:snRNA from 1 species
AGCUCUUCUUGCCUUUUUGGCUUUGAUCAAGUUGAGUAGCUGUUCUUUUCAGUUUAAUAUCUGAAAGCUCCCUACGGGGUUGCGACAAAUACUAGCAAGUUUUUGGAACCAGCCUGGGGGGCGCUGAGCUCCGCUUAUCUCCUUGGGCACAGUGUCGCCUCUACUGCACUGACGGAGGCUGACGCGAAGUCUA